AUUUCAUUUGACAAGAUUGUUAGAAAAGUAAAUUCAACAAUAUGGUAGACUUGUACACUUUUGGGUGAAAAAUCUUAUGGUUUUCAUUUGAAAGUAGCAUUUUAUCUAGUGUAAACGGUCAGAAUUUGCCGCCCCUAAAAAUUUGCCGCCCUAGGCAGCUGCCUAUGUUGCCUGUUCGGUAAAUCCGCCCCUGGUGAAAUGUUAACUUAUUUCAAUGUUUAGAGUACAUAUUUAAAUAUACAGAGUGAAAAACGUGAACAAAUUUAGUGAAACAUAGAGAAAUACCAUGUGUUAUUAGUGCAAAUUUUUGAACAUUUAAACGUGAAUAUUUAAAAAAAUAUAAGUUAUUUUUAUAUUAUUUUUGGAUAUUCCUCCUCUGGAUAAGUUCCCCUAUACGCACAUACCCCAUUUAUACGGAAAUUCGGUUUUUUUACCCCUCCGCCAAAGUAAUCGGAAUCAUGGCCAAUAACACAUAAUAUUUCACAAUGUUUCACUAAACUUUUUACAUUUUUCAAUUUGUAUUUUUAAAUAUACACUCUAAAGAUAAAAAUAAGUUCAUAUUUAACUUUUAUUUUGUUAUUUUUUAGCUAACUUCAAUAAUUUAAAAAUCACUUAGCACACUCAUCUUUGAAAAAGUAAGAUUGCUUACAAUUAUGAGGAAAACGAGAAUUGCCAUAUCUUAAACACCAAUUAUGAAGGAUUAAACGAUAGCGUUUUCUUUUUUUACAUUUUCGCGUGAUUUUUUUUCUUUAUUAACUACAAACAAAUUCUUUCCAACAUUUUUUCAGCUUCAACUGGACUACAGCUCAAGAAAUAAGGAAUUUUUUUUCUUGAGCAUGUACUUGAGUGCUGGAAACUAACAUUUAUAUACAAAUAUCUCGAAAACUAUAGGUCUGAGAUUGAAAUAAUUGAAACCGUUUUCAAUACGUUUUCGAUGCAGCUGAAUUUACUUGCCGACUAGAUAAAAUACAUUCCGUGGCUAAUAGAUGGCGCUACUUUCGAAAUCAUUGAAUCACAAAAUCGAAAAUAUUUUUCGAAAUCUAUCCGCAUCUAUCGAGCAUUUCGGAAAUAAAUGCUUUUUGAGAAGACACUUUAGAAAACUUGAGCGCUCAAAUGUCAAAGACAAGACUGGAUCGAAAAAGGUAUAAAAAACAUUACGCAUUUAUAGUACUAGUUAAAAGGAAAAUGGUUGAAACUACAAAGCAAAUUUCUGGAACAGGAGGUGGGCCCUUCAACCAAGUAAAUUUAAGUUCCCUCGAAAAGGAGGUAAGUGCUAUACUUUCCUCUAAUACAUCAGUAGAGGGAUUGAAAGGUAUACAAAGUCUUGGAACAUCAACACACAUUUGAAAUGACAUCCCUGGUACAAGUAAGAAGACACCAAUCGACGACAUUUCUUCCCAGCCCCAAAUGCAAAAUGAAAUCAAAUUUGUCGUCUGACCAGCUGUACACCGCACAAGAAACAGAAAAUAAACAAAAUAGGUCUACUUGAGGAGAAAAUAAAUAUCCAAAAAAAUAUGCAGGACAAUGUAUCAAAAGUUCUAAACACGCUUAUGAAGCAACUAGCGAACAUGCACAAGAACAGUCUGAAACAAAAAGAUGGAUUAGAAAACUCUAUGAAAUUGCAAAAGAUAAAUUUAAGGAAAUGAAGCGACAUAAUGCUGUGAGGGAAAAAAUAUCCAUUGAUAAAUUAGAAACCAAAAAAAAAUUAGAACUUGAAUUAUUUUUUUAUUGUAACGUAACAAAGAUAUACAGACAUGUAGUAACAAUAUCAUAGUAAAGGUAUCAUAUUAUUCUGUAUACUGCGUUGGUGACCCACAUGACAAUGUAGUAAACUCAAAUACUAGCUUUGUUUCAUAGGCAUUAAAUAUUUCUAAAAAAUUUUAAACAAUAAAUAUGUUGUGUGUUAUGGAGAAAAUAA